rnacentral:rRNA from 1 species
CCUACGGGAGGCAGCAGUGAGGAAUAUUGGUCAAUGGCCGAGAGGCUGAACCAGCCAAGUCGCGUGUGGGAAGACGGCCCUACGGGUUGUAAACCUCUUUUGUCGGGGAGCAAAGCGAGUCACGUGUGACUCAUUGAGAGUACCCGAAGAAAAAGCAUCGGCUAACUCCGUGCCAGCAGCCGCGGUACUACGGAGGAGGCGAGCGUUAUCCUGAUUGAUUGGGUUUAAAGGGUGCGCAGGCGGAGGUGCAAGUCAGCGGUCAAGGUGCGGGGCUCAACCCCGUACUGCCGUUGAAACUGCAUGCCUUGAGUGCGCUAGAGGUAUGCGGAAUGCGUGGUGUAGCGGUGAAAUGCAUAGAUAUCACGCAGAACUCCGAUUGCGAAGGCAGCAUACCGGCGCGCAACUGACGCUCAUGCACGAAAGCGUGGGUAUCGAACAGGAUUAGAUACCCUUGUAGUC